rnacentral:rRNA from 1 species
AUGAUUUGCUUUAACUGCAGCUGGCCAGGACAUUAUGUUGGAAAUUGCAUUGAUCAGAAGAAGUGUUUUAUCUGCUCUGGAAACCAUAAUGUGAACAACUAUGUGGCCUAGGCCCGCUUGCAACCUACUACUACAUAUUUUGGUAGUGCUGUAGCAGGCCUGGGUUUCUACCACAUAGAUAUCCUUGUUGCUGCUAAAUCCAAU